GGCCUGUCUGGCACUUCUAUUAUCCAUCUGUCUACUCAUUCAGCAAAUACGUGUCAGGUAUCUGUCCUGUGCCCAGUACUCCUCUAGGCACUAGUGAACAAGAAAGGAAAUCCCUGCCUUGUGGUGCUUACAGUUUAGCUAGGGAGACAGACAAAAGCUUGGCUGCACUAAAAGGUAUAUAGUGUAAUCCCACUAUGUCCUCGUAGUGCUAUGGCCCCGAAGAAAAGGAAAGCAGUGGGAACAGGAAAUGGAUGGUCAAGACCUCUAAGAAGGUGAAGAAUGAUCAGGGAUCCAAGCAGAGUGAAGGAGAAAAUCACAUGAAAUCCAGUGAAAGAGCAAGAGCAACCACCGUGUGGCAAGAGCUCACCGAGUGUGUCUGCAAAACAAGGAAGUCCCAGUAGCUGGAGCUGGGGAUGGGGUGGGGUUGGGGUGAGUUUGCACAGGUUGGCCGGGGCAAGAGGAAGAGAGCCCUGGAGGCGAGGACACUAUCAGAUUUGCAUUUGCUUAUUUGCUUAUGUACUUUUCUGGCCUUCUGAUGUAUGUUAGGUUAAUAAUUCUUGCUUCAUCAUUCUCUCAUCAUUGGUCCACGUGUGGCCUGUUUUGUGUGUUACUUACCUGCUCAUGCAUAUAUUUCAGUGCUGUAAGGACCCAGGAACCUACCCUCCAACAGGAAAACUAGCACGUGGUAGCAAAGGAUUUGCUGUUUAAAGGAUCACUCUGGCUGCUGUGAAGAGAACAGACUGUGGGAGAAUAUUUUGGAAAUCCUGACAGAGGCUGCCACAGGGAUGAACCUUGAAAAUAUUACACUGACUGGAAUAAGCCAGGCACCAAAGGAUAACUACUGUAUGGCUCCUCUCAUAUGAGGUACCUGGAGUAGUCAGUUAAUUGACACAGAAGGUAGAAUGGCCAUGGCAUGGGCCUGGGGAAGGGGAUGGAGAAGGGGAGUUAGUUCUAAUGGGCACAAAGUUUCAGUUUAGGAAGCUGAAAAUGUUCUGGAACUGGAUUGUCACGAUGCUUGCACCACAAUCUCACCUGAGCUGGUGAUGUUCACCAGGCAGAAGAGGACGCAGAAGACAAGGAGCGGUCUGAACUUCAUGGUGCCAGUAGCCGAGUUUUCUAGGGUCCGGCCAAAGGCUAAAGUUAUACCUGCAACUGAAGCAGAAGGGCCCUAUUCCUCUGAGUUGAGAGAAGUACCUGGCCUUUCAUUACCUGGAAGAGGAAGCACCUUGGGCAAGGAGUGUGGGCCCAGAGGAAGUGGGUGUCUACCUGGAGGCCUUGCCGCUUGGCUUGAAGGGCUUCUUGGAGGCUACUGGGCAAGUGCCCUAAGUCAGUGUUUUUGCAGCAUCUGGAAUGCC